GUACCUGAUCAAUUUGGAAGAUUGAGUCUUGAAUAAGGUUGCUUGAAAGUUUGAUUUAGCCUAUGCCAAUUAGUUCGAUCAUAUGAUGACUGAUUAGAUGAGAUCUAAAUCUAAAUCUCUCCAUAAAUAUUAAGUCCAUAGGUCUUCCACCGUUGUAGAUGUGCGGGCAUAGUACUGAUGUUGAUUAUUCUCAGCUGGUCACAGUGGUUCAGUUGCAUUGAAAAUACGCAACCACUCUAUUAGCAAAGAGUUGC
rnacentral:lncRNA from 1 species